GUAAACCGUAGAGCUAAUACCGGAUAAUAUUUUGAACCGCAUGGUUCAAAAGUGAAAGACGGUCUUGCUGUCACUUAUAGAUGGAUCCGCGCUGCAUUAGCUAGUUGGUAAGGUAACGGCUUACCAAGGCAACGAUGCAUAGCCGACCUGAGAGGGUGAUCGGCCACACUGGAACUGAGACACGGUCCAG
rnacentral:rRNA from 1 species